GAUUAACGCUGGCGGCAUGCCUAAUACAUGCAAGUCGAACGGAAGCAGCGAAUGCUUUAGUGGCGAACGGGUGAGUAACACGUAGGGAACCUACCUAUACGACGAGGAUAACUACUGGAAACGGUAGCUAAAACUGGAUAGGAUCAAUUGAGGCAUCUUGAUUGAUUUAAAGAUCCUUCGGGAUUACGUAGAGAUGGCCCUGCGGCGCAUUAGCUAGUUGGUGAGGUAACGGCCCACCAAGGCGACGAUGCGUAGCUGAGCUGAGAGGCUAAACAGCCACACUGGGACUGAGACACGGCCCAGACUCCUACGGGAGGCAGCAGUAGGGAAUUUUCGGCAAUGGGGGAAACCCUGACCGAGCAAUGCCGCGUGAACGAUGAAGAUCUUCGGAUUGUAAAGUUCUGUGAUUGGGGAAGAAUGGUAUUCUUAGGGAAUGAGGAGUACAUGACGGUACCCGAUUAGAAAGCCCCGGCUAACUAUGUGCCAGCAGCCGC
rnacentral:rRNA from 1 species